UUGAGGUUAGAAUAUCACGAAAAUGUGCAUAUUCUAAACGUUCUAAACUCAUUUAUUGGUUUUUUUCUUUCUGCUUUACAUUUCUUGUUACUGUAAAAUCACUUUUCAAAAAUUUAUGAAAUCGUAUUCAAUCUAAACACAAUAAAAUCACAAAAUAACUUACAGUUUGCACACAAAAAUUUAAUUUUUUUCAACUAAUAGGAACUCUCGCAAAAUUGCGUUAUGAAAAUAAUGUGUUUACGGUUUUGACAGAUUAUUAAUGUCGACGUAUACGUAACCACAGCUGUCAUAAUAUAUACGUAACUUCGUAUUUUCACAUUGUGGAGAAUUUUUUCUGUUUCAUUAAUAAUGAAUCAUUAUUUUCUGUUCCCAUAGAAUGGUAUGGCGCUCAUUAGCGAGA